rnacentral:rRNA from 1 species
AGAGUUUGAUCAUGGCUCAGGAUGAACGCUAGCGGCAGGCUUAAUACAUGCAAGUCGAACGGUAAGGUCUCUUCGGAGAUACACGAGUGGCGCACGGGUGCGUAACGCGUAUGCAACCUACCUUUAACUGGGAAAUAGCCCCGAGAAAUCGGGAUUAAUGUCCCAUACUAUUCUGAGAAUGCAUAUUCUUAGAAUGAAAGCUCCGGCGGUUAUUGAUGGGCAUGCGUGACAUUAGCUAGUUGGUGAGGUAACGGCUCACCAAGGCUACGAUGUCUAGGGGUCCUGAGAGGGUUAACCCCCACACUGGUACUGAGACACGGACCAGACUCUUACGGGAGGCAGCAGUAAGGAAUAUUGGGCAAUGGACGCAAGUCUGACCCAGCCAUGCCGCGUGAAGGAUGAAUGUCCUAUGGAUUGUAAACUUCUUUUAUGCAGGAAAAACAUCCCGGUCGUGAACCGGGACUGAUGGUACUGUAUGAAUAAGCAUCGGCUAACUCCGUGCCAGCAGCCGCGGUAAUACGGAGGAUGCAAGCGUUAUCCGGAUUCAUUGGGUUUAAAGGGUGCGCAGGCGGAAUGAUAAGUCAGUGGUGAAAUCUCCCGGCUCAACCGGGAAACUGCCAUUGAUACUGUCGUUCUUGAGUAC